CUACGGGGGGCUGCAGUGGGGAAUAUUGCACAAUGGACGAAAGUCUGAUGCAGCAACGCCGCGUGGAGGAUGACACAUUUCGGUGCGUAAACUCCUUUAUAUAAGAAGAUAAUGACGGUAUUAUAUGAAUAAGCACCGGCUAACUCCGUGCCAGCAGCCGCGGUAAUACGGGGGGUGCAAGCGUUACUCGGAAUCACUGGGCGUAAAGCGCAUGUAGGCGGACUUGUAAGUUGGAAGUGAAAUCCUAUGGCUCAACCAUAGAACUGCUUCCAAAACUGCUUGUCUAGAAUAUGGGAGAGGUAGAUGGAAUUUCUGGUGUAGGGGUAAAAUCCGUAGAGAUCAGAAGGAAUACCGAUUGCGAAGGCGACCUACUGGAACAUUAUUGACGCUCAGAUGCGAAAGCGUGGGGAGCAAACAGGAUUAGAUACCCGCGUAGUC
rnacentral:rRNA from 1 species